UGAUAUCUUCAUUACUAAACUCUCUCUCUCCCUCCAAUUCCUUCAUUUGUUUAAUUUCAAAAACACUCACAGAUGAGUGUCACAACACUGCCCCUUGGUUCAACACUAAAUACAAUGAAGAAGUUGUCAGUUUAGAAUGGGAAAAGAGUUGGAAAAAUUUGUCUCUUAAUCCUGAGCUCCAUUUGCCGCACCCAAACAAGUUUAUCGCUUCCGAGUUUGAGCUGUUAGCUGAAGAUGUACCACAGACAAAAUAUCCAGUAAUUAUCAAGGAAACUCCUCAUUAUAAAAUCUGGUACAAGAAGGAUGAUGUUUUUGAUCUCCCUAAAGCGUCAAUUUGUGUCUCGUUUGUUACUCCAAAUGAAUUCCAGUUGGCACCAGAAACGUG